rnacentral:rRNA from 1 species
GAUGAACGCUGGCGGCGUGCCUAAUACAUGCAAGUCGAGCGAACAGACGAGGAGCUUGCUCCUUCGACGUUAGCGGCGGACGGGUGAGUAACACGUAGGUAACCUACCUAUAAGACUGGGAUAACUUCGGGAAACCGGAGCUAAUACCGGAUAAUAUUUCGAACCGCAUGGUUCGAUAGUGAAAGAUGGCUUUGCUAUCACUUAUAGAUGGACCUGCGCCGUAUUAGCUAGUUGGUAAGGUAACGGCUUACCAAGGCAACGAUACGUAGCCGACCUGAGAGAGUGAUCGGCCACACUGGAACUGAAACACGGUCCAGACUCCUACGGGAGGCAGCAGAAAGGAAUCUUCCGCAAUGAGCGAAAGCCUGCCGGAGCAACGCCGCGUGAGUGAUGAAGGUCUUCGGAUCGUAAAGCUCGUUUAUUAGGGAAGAACAAACGUGUAAGUAACUGUGCACGUCUUGACGGUACCUAAGCAGAAGGGCAGGGCUAACUCCGUG